rnacentral:rRNA from 1 species
UACGUAGGGAGCAAGCGUUGUCCGGAAUCAUUGGGCGUAAAGCGCGCGUAGGCGGCCCGAUAAGUCCGCUGUGAAAGUCCAGGGCUCAACCCUGGAAUGCCAGAGGAAACUGUCGGGCUAGAGUCCGGAAGAGGCGAGUGGAAUUCCUGGUGUAGCGGUGAAAUGCGCAGGUAUCAGGAGGAACACCGAUGGCGAAGGCAGCUCGCUGGGACGGUACUGACGCUGAGACGCGAAAGCGUGGGGAGCAAACAGG